AGUGAACGCUGGCGGCAGGCCUAACACAUGCAAGUCGAGCGGCAGCGCGGGGCAACCUGGCGGCGAGCGGCGGACGGGUGAGGACAACGUCGGAAUCUGCCAAUUCGUGGGGGAUAACGUAGGGAAACUUACGCUAAUACCGCAUACGACCUACGGGUGAAAGUGGGGGAUCGCAAGACCUCACGCGAAUUGAUGAGCCGACGUCCGAUUAGCUAGUUGGUGAGGUAAAGGCUCACCAAGGCGACGAUCG
rnacentral:rRNA from 1 species